rnacentral:rRNA from 1 species
CAAGUCGAGGGGCAGCAUGAGUAGCAAUACUUGAUGGCGACCGGCAAACGGGUGCGGAACACGUACAGAACCUUCCUUCGAGCGGGGAAUAGCCCGGAGAAAUCCGGAUUAAUACCCUAUAGUAAAUUGAAAAGGCAUCUUUUUAAUUUUAAAGAUUUAUCACUUGAAGAUGGCUGUGCGCCUGAUUAGGUAGUUGGCGGGGUAAUGGCCCACCAAGCCUUCGAUCAGUAACUGGCGUGAGAGCGCGACCAGUCACACGGGCACUGAGACACGGGCCCGACUCCUACGGGAGGCAGCAGUAAGGAAUAUUGGUCAAUGGACGCAAGUCUGAACCAGCCAUGCCGCGUGGAGGAUGAAGGCCCUCUGGGUUGUAAACUUCUUUUAUUUGGGACGAAAAAAGAUCAUUCUUGAUCACUUGACGGUACCAGAUGAAUAAGCACCGGCUAACUCCGUGCCAGCAGCCGCGGUAAUACGGAGGGUGCAAGCGUUAUCCGGAUUUACUGGGUUUAAAGGGUGCGCAGGCGGAUAUGUAAGUCAGUGGUGAAAUCUCUAGGCUUAACCUGGAAAUUGCCGUUGAUACUAUAUAUCUUGAAUGCUGUGGAGGUAAGCGGAAUAUGUCAUGUAGCGGUGAAAUGCUUAGAUAUGACAUAGAACACCUAUUGCGAAGGCAGCUUACUACGCAGAUAUUGACGCUCAUGCACGAAAGCGUGGGGAUCAAACAGGAUUAGAUACCCUGGUAGUCCACGCCCUAAACGAUGAUUACUCGACAUACGCGAUACACUGUGUGUGUCUGAGCGAAGCAUUAAGUAAUCCACCUGGGAAGUACGACCGCAGG